rnacentral:snRNA from 1 species
AUACUCUGGUUUCUCUUCAGAACGCAUAAAUCUUUCGCCUUUUCCUAAAGAUUUCCGUGGAGAGAAACAAUUCCGAGUUUUUCGUCAAUUUUUUGAGACCUUGUUUUUACAAGGCU